AAGCUGCAGCAAGUUCUCCAGAAGAUCUAGCUAAGAUAAUUCAUUGAAGAAGGUGGUGCUAUAGUUUGAAUGUUUAUCCUUCUAAACCUUUUGUUGAAAUUUGUUCCCCAGCGUUGGAGGUGGGACCUAACAGGAGGUGUUUGAGUCAUGGGGGCAGAUCCCUUAAGAAGGACUUGGUGCCGUCCUUGUGGAAAUGAAAAAAUUCUUCUGGGGAAUAAAGCAUAGAGAAAUGAAGAGCUAAGAUACAGAGGAGCUUCCCAAGACCAUGUUUGAACAUUUGUAAACAGCCAUGCCUGGACUUCUGAGUUAAACGAUGAUUAUACAAAGGCUGAUACAGAGCACCCAUGUGGAGGGGUCACAGAAGGCCACUAAUCUUUGGAGUAAAUUUCUAUGCAGCAAAUCUAUUGAUGAUACAAGGGGGCUUCGCAAAUAAUGGUUAUGGACUUCAGAAGGCCCAAUGGGUCAGCUUCAGAACCAGUGGAAGGAGGGUGGAGCUGACAGAACAGGUGACUUGCUGCUUCAAGCUGACCUCUGAAGCGAGUAUACACAGGCCACUUGUACAUUCUUCAUCAAAUCAUUAAGAAGUCAAAUGAAAAUGACCAACCACUGUCUCUGACAUUUAUUAUAUAUAUGAAAGGCAUUUAGGAGAUGUAAAGACCAGGCAAUUGUGAAACAACUAUAAAGAUGCAAGACUGAAAGCCUCAAGAGUGACAUUCAGCUGCUCAGUUAUGCCAGCAAAAUGGAUUAGUAGAAGAUUCUAAGUUAUGGUGACUGAGUGAAGGAGAUGAUUGCUGGAAGAAUUAAAGCUGGCUGUCUGGAAGGAAUUUAGGAAGACGUAGUGGUUAUAUAAUACUGAAAUCCUAGGAAACUGGAGAGUAUGUAUUCUUGGCUUAUCAUUUAUUUCUGUUUGGAAAUGAUGGGGCAUUAUGAAGCUUUCCUAGAAGUUCCUAAAGGAGAAGUCAAGCAGCAGACACAUCUUCAUAAUGAUUCAGAAGACCUUCAGCUUACGGAGUGAAGCUUUACUGUGAACGGAGAGUAUUAUGCAGACAUAGCCUGCAGAGGAACUGCUGGGCAGAUUGGUGUCCAUAUGAAUUCCUUUGGCAAGAUGUACUAAAAGUUCUGGACUUGUGAAGUUAAAAUCUGGUAACAAAUGAGCUUAAUGAAUCAGAGAGAUGCAAACUUCAGCUGCAUGUGUAUGGGACGUGUCCUGUUAACAUUGAGAAUUACUCUUGGUUUAUGAUACUGCAAAAGUGCAGCUAAGCCAGACCAUAACUCUAGUGCCUCUGAUCAGGGCAAAAUUAGGGUUAAAUAGAACAAGGUUCUAUGGUGAGUAAGAUGAACCAAAAGACUCAUGGUAUCAGUUUUUAAAAUGAUUUCUCUCUUUCUUGCUCUUGGGCUUAUUUGCAUUUCCAUAAUUCCUUAAUCCCAGAAUAAAUUUAUUUUUUAAAAUAUAAUAUUUUUAAUAUACAACAUUAAUUUUUAGAAUUUAGAUUUAUGGCCUAUUAACAGAUUUACUUUUUCCAAACAGAUAAUACAGAGAAAUAUAAUGAACUUGAUUAUAUAGGAGUUUACUUAGGAUAGAAUGAGUCAUUCUCAUCAGUGAAACAGUUCCUGAUGCCCUUUUAGUCUCUAUUGAAAUGAAAAAAGAAUUUGUGCUAAUAUUUAUUCAGUCAUUUAAUAUUUUAUAAUGAACCUUGACAGCUUUUAAAGGACCUAGAUACAGCAGCAUGCACAUUUCUGUUUGUUUCGUCAUGGGCUUGGGAUUUUUGUGCAGAUUUUUCACGGUUCUCUGCUUCUCUGGUUUUUAAAUAGAUUAGUGUGACACUGUAGAACAUUUCUUGUUAGUGGGGAAAAAUUGGAAGCCAUAAGCGUCUAGCAAAAAUAGGGGUAUAUCUCCCAAAUAAAGAGUAUUUUUAAAGCUUUGGCAACUGAAAGACUAGAUUCUGUUUGGCCAUACUGGUGCCAUGAGUUUGCUGUUUUUCCUUCUUUUUUGCCUACUCUCACUUGUCACAUUCCUCACUAACCCUGACAUCUCACACGUACUGAAACCUAAAUAGAUCUCGAUCUUCUUGCUUCUGUCAAAUUUAAAAGAAACACAACUACAUUAUAAAAUGUCUUUAAAAUUCCUUUAUGUUUUUACUGCAGACUUUAAGAGAAGGCAAAGGGAAUUAUGUUGCAGGGAGACAUGACGUUCCCAUUAUUCACAUGGCUACAAUACUGCCCCUCCUCUCAACUUUCUAUUCUCUUUCCAAGGCAGUCCAUCCAAACCACACCUUCUCCCAGAUUUGCCUGCCCUCCCCUGCUCCUCCUCCAGCCUUCCUGUUCUAUUCCAUUCCUUGGUCUGCAGCUCUCUGCCCUCUUGGCUCUUUUCUCUUUACCAAGUGCCCUGCGUGAGCAUAAGGAAGGGCCUAGAAGGGAGCAGCCAUCAAGCCAUCUCUUGAAAUUGGCAGAGAAGAAAGAUGAUGAAUAUACAAUAUUUUUAGCUCUGUCAAAUAGACUCAAACCCAAUCUAAUACACAUUUAGAACUCGGACUCUGCCUACAAAGAAUUGGUUGCUAUCAACCUUUACUCCUUUCUUACCACCUUUCCCUCAACACUUCUUGUUCUAUCUGCUUUGCUGUAUGCCAUUUCCUUGGGGAAAGUAAUCAGAAGAGCUGGAGGCUACUGCAGGAGAUGGGGUCCUGAAUGGCUCUUCAGAAGGAGGGGGCUUAGCUUGAUUCUGGGGUGGUGCAUUGGCACAGAGAGAAACUGUUGGCUGUCCCACUAAGUAGACACCUAAAUUUGGGAGGGCAGUUGCAAGCCAGGUGGGGGAGGAGUAAAACAAUGGAGCAGUGAAGAUGUAUAUUGAGUUUGAGAGCAGACAAAGAUAAAUUUGUCAAUAUGAAAGAAGGAAGAGAGCAAAACAUAACUAGAGCAGGUGUCACAAUUGAGGUCAUGAGUCAGCAAAGACUAGACUGAAGGUACAAGAGAUGAGGAAGACAUUCAAGGGGGAAGGGUGGGGCAAUGGAAUCAAACACACAGGAAGAAGGCCUUCAAAUUUUAUACCACCAUGGUUUAGUCCUUUUAAGAAACUUUCUUAUGUGGUAUUUAUGGUGGAUUGUGAACAUGGCUUGUCUUUUCUAAGCUCCUUGAGGCUGUGUUCUGAGUUUGGUUUGCCCUUGUUGUGGAAAAUGUGGUGAGUCUCACAUACUCCCAGCUGUCUGCUGGUUGUCAUGCAGCAUACAUCCAGAAGGGCAUUGGGUAGUAUUGAGUGAGUAGGAGGAGACAAGGAAGCCUGGCUGUUGGGUGAGCAGAGGGUGAAAUACUUAAUCAGGUCUUGAAAAUUUUUAUGAAAAGUCUAACUCCAGUAUUUUUUGGAAAUUUCGAUGAUAUUGGUAUCAUCCAAUUUGUAUAAUCCAAGUCUAACAGGUCUUGCUGCUCUCUGCUUAUUUAAGAAUAAUGUAUUUAAAUACGAUCAAGUGUGAUAAUCUUAACUAUCACCUUCUUUAUCUCUUAUCACCCUGACUAAGGCUAUGGUAUAUCACAUAAGUCAUAUACCAUAAAUUAAAUGAAUAAAAAAUAAAGAAAUACUAUAAUAGGAAGUUGUGUUUACUGUGGAAAAAUUAGAUAACACAGAUGAACAAAAAGGAAAGAAAAUGUGAAUAAACUAUAAUUCCUUUGAGACAUAUUGAUAGCUAUAGCUAUAGGUAUGUAUUUGCACAUUUUAGCACCAUGUAGCUUUUUGAUAAAUUGUUAUUUUAUUUAAUAGCAUAACACAAAUGUCUUUCCACAUCAUUAGAUUUCAGUGAGAUGUCAGCAAAUGUGGUUUGAGAACAAGUUAUGUUGGAAUAAAUCCAUACUGUGAAUCAUU